rnacentral:sRNA from 1 species
GGAAGAACGGGUUAUUCACUAGGUGCUUCUUGCUGG